rnacentral:lncRNA from 1 species
AGUCCUGAGGAGGUUCCUGCUUGCUCUUCUACAUGUGACUCAGGUGCGCCUGCAGGGCCACUCCCUCGUCCAGGAGAAACUCCACAUCCACUCAUCUCCGUGUACGUGCAGACUGGUCACUCCCUCCUGUCUGUAACCCUGCAGCAGCAGGUCAGAGCCUGGGAUCCGGCUCCCUGCUCCAACCCCAGCUCGGACAGAGCCGCAGGCAGGAGGCUGCUGGGACAGCUGGGGCCUACACCAGGCGAAACUACAGUGCAAUGUGUCAGACCCUGGGAACACACAGAGUGGUGGGUGUCUGGAACAAGCUGCCCAACCUCGAUUUUAGAAUUUAUACCUGUUUUUUUUUUCCAAGAAAGAACUUGAUGAAAUCUUGAAAUCAAUGAGCUAUCUGAGUGCCCAAACGUGUGACCUUUCCACUGUCCUGAGGAAUAUAUUUCACUGUGAGAACACAGUUGCUACCUCUUCUUUCUGACCUACAGAAAACAGCUAAAACAUUAAGGAAUAAAUUAAAUUUUAAACGAUCCUGUUCCUUCUCUCAUCUAAUCCAGCUACUACAGGGGCGAGCCGCCGCCGCAGGAAGUGACGUCCCCCACAGAGCCCGCCGUCCACAAGUUUCAAAAACCGGAUUAUUUUUGAAUUUUCUAAAACGUCUUAGAUUUUCGUCUGUCGUCAAAUACCCCGCAGUCUAAUCUGGAGAGCGCGGCAGUGGUCUUUUUUAGGAGCCGAUUUCUUCUAUUUUUGUUUUUGGCGGUUUCAAGGCGGGAAGAGCUUCCGGUUUCCGGUGGCGACCCGGAGGAUAAAAGGCGGCGCACAGCUCUGCUCGGCCAUUUGCAUCGGGCUGCCGCGGCAGCGCCUCCUGGUCAGUGUGCGGCCUGCAGGUAAGACUGCCCGUCGUGUCCCGCACCGAUAGGCCGAGGGCCGCUCCGAGUGUGCCCCGCUGUGACACGAGCACGGCCUGGAGGGGCUGUGGUCCGGUCUGGCCCGGGGGUCCGGCUGUGGGCCGGUUUGACCUGGGGUUCUGGUGCCGUGCCGGGGGCGCUGGCCCCUCUGUGUGCCUCAGUGCUGCGGUGAUGUGGAUGAAUUCUCUCUUCCUGACUGAUCGUGGAGAAAAUCCUUUACCAGAUUCUGAGCAGCGCCGGGGCCUGGAGGGCUCCAGUUGGGUCCGGGCCGGGUGUUACCGCAGAGCGCUCUGAGACCGGGGGCUGGGCUGGGGGGUUGCAGUCAGUUCAACUCACGGUGCUUUGUUAGCAUGACCGAUGGGAACAAUCAGUGUUGCCAAAGCAAAUGAAAGUAAUGAAAUUCACAUAAAAUAAAAUCUCCAGACGUUUACAACAGACAUUAUAAAAUAUUGACAUAUACUGUAGACAGGAGGAGCAUUGUGUAGUGGUCUCUCAGGCCUGGUGGGGGCGCUGUCUGAGCUGGAAUAAAAGCCUGUGCCCUCCGGGUGGGGUCAGGCUGCUCAGGGCUGGACUGAUCCUCAUCUCCUCCUCUCUUCCAGAUGUGCUCGAACCCGCAGCUCCUCGGGGUUACUGCUGGCUCUCAGGUAAGCCCGCGGGCGGUC